AUUGAACGCUGGCGGCAUGCUUUACACAUGCAAGUCGAACGGUAACAGGCCGCAAGGUGCUGACGAGUGGCGAACGGGUGAGUAAUACAUCGGAACGUAUCCUUGAGUGGGGGACAACCCAGCGAAAGCUGGGCUAAUACCGCAUGAGCUCUGAGGAGGAAAGCGGGGGAUCGCAAGACCUCGCGCUGAAGGGGCGGCCGAUGUCCGAUUAGCUGGUUGGUGGGGUAAAGGCUUACCAAGGCGACGAUCGGUAGCUGGUCUGAGAGGAUGAUCAGCCACACUGGGACUGAGACACGGCCCAGACACCUACGGGUGGCAG
rnacentral:rRNA from 1 species